rnacentral:lncRNA from 1 species
AACCCCGCUGCCAAUGAUGGGAGCCACAGCUCCUCCACGGUACAAGGAAUUCAAGAGCGAACAAAAUUCAUACAGAUAAAACAAAUAUGCAAUGGACUCCCUAUUUUAUGGUACUUUCUCUUACGCUUAUCCGAAAAGAAAAAAAAAAGAGUUAUAAUCAUUAUCUUAUGCUUAAUUCAAGAGUUCCUGAUACAUACUACAAACGUAUUUAAUAUACAUCUAGUAAUAAUUCAGUACACAUUUUAAAGAUAAAUCGAUAUACAGUUUUAAAAGCAUAUUUUUAGCUAGUAUAUACUAAUGGCUGGAUAAUACAUACAAAAUAGAUUAAUUAUUUAAAAAAUCAAUACACACCUCUAAAUAAAUUAAUAUAUAAUUUUCAAAAUAUGGCGUUUCUUAGUACCGACACAAUUUUUUAGCUUUGUCUAACAUAAGAAAUUAUAUACAUAUCAUUUCAUAGAUUUCAUGAACUCUUACAUGCAAAAAUUCUAAAAAAGA